AACUCUACAAUGCAGGCAACUGCGAUAGGGGAGCAUCGAGUGAUACUCAUAUUGGGUGUCUGUCCUUCCGUCUAAAAAACGGGAGUUAGCAAGGGCCGGGCAAGACCGGUGCCAGCCGCCGCGGUAAUACCGGCGGCUCGAGUGGUGGCCGAUAUUAUUGAGUCUAAAGGGUCCGUAGCCGGCUUGGUAAGUCUCUUGGGAAAUCCGGCGGCUUAACCGUCGGUCGUCCGGGAGAUACUACCUUGCUUGGGACUGGGAGAGGCGUGAGGUACUCAGGGGGUAGGAGUGAAAUCCUGUAAUCCUUUGGGGACCACCGGUGGCGAAGGCGUCACGCCAGAACAGGUCCGACGGUGAGGGACGAAAGCUAGGGGCACGAACCGGAUUAGAUACCCGGGUAGUCCUAGCCGUAAACGAUGCUCGCUAGGUGUCACGACAAUCGUGAAUUGUCGUGGUGCCGUAGGGAAGCCGUGAAGCGAGCCACUUGGGAAGUACGACCGCAAGGUUGAAACUUAA
rnacentral:rRNA from 1 species